GGAGUCUUGACAACAAGCUCUAGUUUUCUGCCCUAUACAAGGUCAGUAGUCAUCAUUAUCUUUUUUAUAUAUUUUGAUUUUUGGUUUCUAAAACUUUGUGGCCGUUUGAAUAUCCUCACUUCAUAUAAUCUUGUAUUUCUAAAUGUUUCCCAGAAUCUGCCUCAUGUAGCUUUGAUUAAAAACAUCUUGUAAGUAGUUUGUAUAAAGUUAUGAUGUUCAUAUCUUGUUAGAAUUGUGAAUUCGAGAAUGACUAAUGGUCUAUCUUUCACUCCAUUAACGAUCAGUACACAAAGGAGUUAACAUGAAACUAUUCCCUUUUGAGAAAACUAUAUGAAGUGUUAAAAUAAAACCAUACAGACUUGGACAUAGCCGUCCUGAAAUUAAGUGUUAAUACCAUAAGAGAUUUAUCUUUACAUGAGCUUUGUUGGCGAAUAAGCACGUCUUUAUGUUUGUAAAGUAUCAUUCUCAAAUCUGUUCGAACUAAGAUUAGAGUAGGGAUGGAAAUUUUCUCUCUUAAGAUGUUUGUUUGAAUUCAAGUAUGUCUAAAUUACUGUAAAGUUGGGUUGGGGGAACCUAACCUUUUUGUUUUGCAGUCAUCUCAGCUUACUGUUUGGUUUGAAUAUGACCUGCUAAAUAAAUGUCGUUCAUAGACUUCUCCAAUUCGUGGCUGUUUUACGUAAUUACAUUAUAGGCAUAGUUAUUAUGUUUUAAAGUUUAUAAUGAUAGCGGAG
rnacentral:lncRNA from 1 species